rnacentral:rRNA from 2 species
UCCUACGGGAGGCAGCAGUGGGGAAUAUUGGACAAUGGGCGAAAGCCUGAUCCAGCCAUGCCGCGUGUGUGAAGAAGGUCUUCGGAUUGUAAAGCACUUUAAGUUGGGAGGAAGGGCAUUAACCUAAUACGUUAGUGUUUUGACGUUACCGACAGAAUAAGCACCGGCUAACUCUGUGCCAGCAGCCGCGGUAAU